rnacentral:rRNA from 1 species
UACGGAGGGAGCUAGCGUUGUUCGGAAUUACUGGGCGUAAAGCGCACGUAGGCGGCUUUGUAAGUUAGAGGUGAAAGCCCGGGGCUCAACUCCGGAACUGCCUUUAAGACUGCAUCGCUUGAAUCCAGGAGAGGUGAGUGGAAUUCCGAGUGUAGAGGUGAAAUUCGUAGAUAUUCGGAAGAACACCAGUGGCGAAGGCGGCUG